GGCUUUUUUUGAACAAAAAUUAAAGUUGCAUGAUGUUAACAAACUGUAACUGAGUGACUGAAAUGAAACAAGCCUUGAAUUUUAGUGAUGAUCAAUAUAAUUUACCAUUUUUUGUCUUGCAAAGGCUUCAUCCAUGGAAUUAAUAUCGGCACAAACAAAUUCACGUUAUUUUCUCUUGCUCAAAGUCUGUUAAUUCAUUUUAAUUAUUUUUCAACAUUUGCAAAGGUCAUUAUCUACAACAUGUUUUCCUUUUCCUCGUUAUUUCUGUAAGAUAAUAUACGAAAAUGGCAUCUAGCCUGCUAGUAAAGCCUCAUCAUAUGCUACUGAAGGCUUCAAAAAUGCCAAUUGUAGAUAGAAGAAAUGUCCUGGGGUUUGAAAACUUCCAUCAUU
rnacentral:misc_RNA from 1 species